UGUAGGACUGCAACGUGGACUUAAAGAUUAUAGAAGAACUACCUGGGAAGGUAGGCCAAAGAGAGUAAUAGCCUCGUAUUCGAAAUAGUCUUUAUACCUAGCAGUAUCCUGAGUACGGCGAGACACGAGAAAUCUCGUCGGAAUCUGGGAGGACCAUCUCCCAACCCUAAAUACUCUCUAGUGACCGAUAGUGAACCAGUACCGUGAGGGAAAGGUGAAAAGCACCCCGGGAGGGGAGUGAAAUAGAACCUGAAACCGUGUGCCUACAACAAGUUCGAGCCCGUUAAUGGGUGAGAGCGUGCCUUUUGUAGAAUGAACCGGCGAGUUACGAUAUGAUGCGAGGUUAAGUUGAAGAGACGGAGCCGUAGGGAAACCGAGUCUUAAUAGGGCGCAUUAGUAUCAUGUCGUAGACCCGAAACCAUGUGACCUACCCAUGAGCAGGUUGAAGGUGAGGUAAAACUCACUGGAGGACCGAACCAGGGCACGUUGAAAAGUGCUUGGAUGACUUGUGGGUAGCGGAGAAAUUCCAAACGAACUUGGAGAUAGCUGGUUCUCUCCGAAAUAGCUUUAGGGCUAGCGUCGAUGUUAAGUCUCUUGGAGGUAGAGCACUGUUUGGGUGAGGGGUCCAUCCCGGAUUACCAAUCUCAGAUAAACUCCGAAUGCCAAUGAGAUAUAAUCGGCAGUCAGACUGCGAGUGCUAAGAUCCGUAGUCGAAAGGGAAACAGCCCAGACCACCAGCUAAGGUCCCAAAAUAUAUGUUAAGUGGAAAAGGAUGUGGGGUUGCACAGACAACUAGGAUGUUAGCUUAGAAGCAGCUAUUCAUUCAAAGAGUGCGUAAUAGCUCACUAGUCGAGUGACCCUGCGCCGAAAAUGUACCGGGGCUAAAACAUAUUACCGAAGCUGUGGAUACCUUUAUAGGUAUGGUAGGAGAGCGUUCUAUGUGCGAAGAAGGUGUACCGUGAGGAGUGCUGGAGCGCAUAGAAGUGAGAAUGCCGGUAUGAGUAGCGAAAGACAGGUGAGAAUCCUGUCCACCGUAAGACUAAGGUUUCCAGGGGAAGGCUCGUCCGCCCUGGGUUAGUCGGG
rnacentral:rRNA from 1 species